rnacentral:misc_RNA from 1 species
GAGUUAACCAUUUUAAACCUGUUAAUUUAGAGCCUACAAAAUUAUUCGAGUCAAUUGAGUAAGUGUUAUACCAUAUGGUGACAUUUUCUUGUGCAAAUCACAUAGAUGCAAGAAAUGGGAAAACAAGUUAGGUUAAGUAACAAGGACAGCUUAGUUCAUGGAAAUCUUAAUGUGAUUUUAGGUGUGGGGCUCCCAAUUCCAUGGACAUGAACUUGCUCCCACAAAAUCAUAACUUGUGCUUAAUAGAAAUGGAUGGUUGACAGGCAAAGUUACAGUCAAAUGCAAAAUAAUGGUGGAG